GCAUAUUUCACUUUGGUACAUACACUAAAAUUGGAACAAGACAGACAAGAUUAGUAUGGCUCCUGGGAAAGGAUCACACGCAGAUUCAUGAAGAGCUGCAAAAUAUUUUU
ensembl:snRNA U6 U6 spliceosomal RNA